GUUUAGGGGUUUUAGGGUUUAGGGGUUUUAGGGUUUUUAGGGUUUAGGGUUUAGGGUUUAGGGUUUUAGGGUUUAGGGGUUUAGGGUUUAGGGUUUAGGGUUUAGGGGUUUAGGGUUUAGGGUUUAGGGUUUAGGGGUGUAGGGUUUCCUUGGCACGACGACCCUGGCGGAGCUCUAGAUUGGUUCUGCUCAAGUUCCGCCUCAUGGCGGCGGUGAUUCCUCCCGAAAGCCUCCUCCUGAUUUUUUU
rnacentral:lncRNA from 1 species